rnacentral:rRNA from 1 species
UACGGAGGGGACUAGCGUUGUUCGGAAUUACUGGGCGUAAAGCGCACGUAGGCGGAUUUGUAAGUCAGGGGUGAAAUCCCGGGGCUCAACCUCGGAACUGCCUUUGAUACUGCAAAUCUCGAGUCCGGAAGAGGUGAGUGGAAUUCCUAGUGUAGAGGUGAAAUUCGUAGAUAUCGGGAGGAACACCGAUGGCGAAGGCGGCGAUCUGGGUAGAUACUGACGCUGAGGUGCGAAAGCGUGGGGAGCAAACAGG